rnacentral:rRNA from 1 species
GACGAACGCUGGCGGCGUGCUUAACACAUGCAAGUCGAACGGUAAGGCCCUUCGGGGUACACGAGUGGCGAACGGGUGAGUAACACGUGGGUGAUCUGCCCUGCACUUCGGGAUAAGCCUGGGAAACUGGGUCUAAUACCGGAUAGGACUCCGGACUGCAUGGUCUGGGGUGGAAAGCUUUUGCGGUGUGGGAUGGGCACGCGGCCUAUCAGCUUGUUGGUGGGGGGAUGGCCUACCAAGGCGACGACGGGUAGCCGGCCUGAGAGGGUGACCGGCCACACUGGGACUGAGAUACGGCCCAGACUCCUACGGGAGGCAGCAGUGGGGAAUAUUGCACAAUGGGCGCAAGCCUGAUGCAGCGACGCCGCGUGAGGGAUGACGGCCUUCGGGUUGUAAACCUCUUUCAGCAUCGACGAAGCGAAAGUGACGGUAGGUGCAGAAGAAGGACCGGCCAACUACGUGCCAGCAGCCGCCGUAA